GACUCUCGGCAACGGAUAUCUCGGCUCUCGCAUCGAUGAAGAACGUAGCGAAAUGCGAUACUUGGUGUGAAUUGCAGAAUCCCGUGAACCAUCGAGUCUUUGAACGCAAGUUGCGCCCGAAGCCGUUAGGCCGAGGGCACGUCUGCCUGGGUGUCACGCAACGUCGCC
rnacentral:rRNA from 4 species